UACGUAGGGUGCAAGCGUUGUCCGGAAUUAUUGGCGUAAAGGGCGCGUAGGCGGCCACCGCAAGUCGAUUGUGAAAUCUCCGGGCUUAACCCGGAAAGGUCAACCGAUACUGCGGGGCUAGAGUGCAGAAGGGGCAACUGGAAUUCUCGGUGUAGCGGUGAAAUGCGUAGAUAUCGAGAGGAACACCUGCGGCGAAGGCGGGUUGCUGGGCUGACACUGACGCUGAAGUGCGAAAGCUAGGGGAGCGAACGGG
rnacentral:rRNA from 1 species